rnacentral:tRNA from 1 species
CAGCGCGUAGGAGAGCUAGGGCUAUCCGUCGCGUUCGGGACGCGAAGAGCGGUGGUUCAAAUCCACCCACGCUGC